GAAUAGAUACCCCGGUAGUCCAUGCCGUAAACGAUGGAUGCUAGCUGUAUGAGGUAUCGACCCCCAUGUAGCGAAGCUAACGCGUUAAGCAUCCCGCCUGUGGAGUACGGUCGCAAGACUAAAACAUAAAGGAAUUGACGGGGACCCGCACAAGCGGUGGAGCGUGUUGUUUAAUUCGAUGAUAAGCGAAGAACCUUACCCAGGCUUGACAUCCUUGGAAUUUUUUCGAAAGAAAAAGUGCUUUUAGAGCCAAGUGACAGGUGUUGCAUGGUCGUCGUCAGCUCGUGUCGUGAGAUGUUUGGUUAAGUCCAUCAACGAGCGCAACCCUUGUGAUUAGUUGAAUUUUUCUAAUCAGACUGCCCUGGUAACAGGGAGGAAGGAGGGGAUGAUGUCAGAUCAGUAUUACCCUUACGUCUGGGGCUACAAACACGCUACAAUGGCCGGUACAAAGGGCAGCCAAGUCGCGAGACGGAGCAAAUCCCAUCAAAAGCCGGUCUCAGUUCGGAUAGCAGGCUGAAACUCGCCUGCUUGAAGUCGG
rnacentral:rRNA from 1 species